GGAUCUAAGUGGGAGGGUCUAAGUGCGACUUCCUCUUUUCUGGGUCCCGCCUGCUGGCGCGGGAUCUCGGCCGGGUGGUCGGUUCUCGCGAGUUCUUUGUCGCCUUUGGUGCUGGGAGAUUCCUUUCAGAGCCAGAAGCGACAGCGGAGGCUUGGAUCUUCCUUCGAGCGGUUGCUGGCUGCACCGGGUGUGUGACGAGCCGUGGGACCCAGCUCUGAGGAAAAAGUAAAGCAUACCUGGGAGUAGAUUCUAUGCCCAGUGGGGAACCCAAUGCAGGGCUUGAAAUCAUGACUCUGAAAUCAAGGGUUGGACACUUAUACUGAGCCACUCAGGCACCCUAAAGCUUAUGUCUUAAACAGAAGAGUAGUGAACAGAUGGAUGAGGGAUGACAUGUCAGUUUCUCAAUCUAAAGCGCUGGCUAAGACAACUAUGCUUCUCACCUUCCUUCAAUAACCUCAAAGCUGAAUUGUUUUUGGUGACCAAUCCUAUUGCCACACCUGCGACAGCAGAUGAAAUUGGAACUCCUAUAAUUGAGAAGAGCUUGUAUGUAAUGUGUACAUCAACCUAACACACGUAU